rnacentral:rRNA from 1 species
ACUCCUACGGGAGGCAGCAGUGGGGAAUAUUGGACAAUGGGGGCAACCCUGAUCCAGCAAUGCCGCGUGAGUGAUGAAGGCCUUCGGGUUGUAAAGCUCUUUUGGCGGGGACGAUGAUGACGGUACCCGCAGAAUAAGCCCCGGCUAACUUCGUGCCAGCAGCCGCGGUAAUACGAAGGGGGCUAGCGUUGUUCGGAAUUACUGGGCGUAAAGGGCGCGUAGGCGGUCCUGAUCGUCGGAUGUGAAAGGCCUGGGCUCAACCUGGGAACUGCAUCCGAUACGGCGGGACUGGAGUGUGGGAGAGGUUGGUGGAAUUCCCAGUGUAGAGGUGAAAUUCGUAGAUAUUGGGAAGAACACCGGUGGCGAAGGCGGCCAACUGGACCACAACUGACGCUGAGGCGCGAAAGCGUGGGGAGCAAACAGGAUUAGAUACCCUGGUAGUCCACGCUGUAAACGAUGCGUGCUAGACGUUGGGCACCCUAGGUGUCCGGUGUCGUCGCUAACGCUUUAAGCACGCCGCCUGGGGAGUACGGCCGCAAGGUUAAAACUCAAAGGAAUUGAC